rnacentral:lncRNA from 1 species
GCUAGGUAUCAAUAACAUGACAUAAGUAACCUACACAUCCCUUCUUCAACAAUUUCCUAGCUUGUAUCAUGGUAAGACAACAAGAACGUCCCGACGAUUUACUACCAUAAAAUACUACCUUGGACUACUUCAAAAUUCGAAGGUUUACACUUUUGUUUUGACAAUCUAUAAUUACCCCAUGGUUAAAAAACCAAUUCAUCCUGAGAAUUACAUUGAAUUCUCCCAAUUUUAUCGGUAUUUGAUCUACCGAUAAUUUGUUACCUCUUAUUUCUACACAACGGCUCCUAUAAAUAUGUUCAAUAAGAAUUGUUUGUUCGUUUGCUACCUUAAUGUUCAAAGGUAUUGGCAAUCUUUCAGGAAGUAACCCUAAACAUCUAGCAAAUUCAUA